CAAUCCUAUUGUAAGACAGAAAAGUUCUCCAAGUCCCCACUCGACCCAGGAAGUCCGGCUGGCUUCACCUCUCACUAGGGGCACCUGCAGGAGACACAGCAGAUGUGGGCAUCUUUGGCUGGAGUGCAGUGGCACAGUCUCAGCCCAUUGCAGCCUCUGCCACCCGGUGUGUCCAGAGUUGGUUCCUUCUGGUGGGUUCCUGGUGUGGCUGAGUUCAAGAAUGAAGCGGUGGACCUUCGCGCCAGGUACUGCGAUCUCUCACCUGGUUUCCUGAGCUCGCGUGAAGAUAUUUUCAAGCAUGAAUACUUGUUCAAAUUGAUGUUUCUGUGGCGGGACAAUCACUGUAAAGUCCUAUUUUGCCGUCUUGCUUCACUCCUAUCCAGCAAAAGAGAGAAUCUUCAAAGCAUCACAAGAGAAGUAAACUUGUCACAUAUAAGGGAUCCUCAAUAAAAUUAACAGCUGAUUUCUCGUCAGAAACCAUGGAGGCCAGAAGCUUGGCAUAUUUAAAAUGAUAAAAGAAAAAAAACUGUCAACCA